GCAGUGUUCGGCUAUACCAUCUGCAUUACAGUGGGUGGAAGUUACUGAUAUUACUUUAGCUGUAGAGCUAGCUGGUGCAGUCAACUGUGUUAAACAUAUAAAGCAUGAUAACAGCUCAUAUAUAGUGGUGGGCGGAGAAUCAUCUGACAAACGAGGAAUUAUCUGGAUCAUCUGUAUCAAAUCAGGUCGACUGAUCCGGGACUGUUUCACGACAACCAGGCCGGUGACGAGCCUCUCUUGCUACUCCUCCCCUUCCCUCCUCUCCUCUCCAGGUCUAGUCCUGGUAAUAGGUACUCUGCAGUGUCAUCUCUACAUCCUUCACAUUAAUCCUAUCACUUCCCCUAACUCCAAACAGAAACAUCUCCUACCCACUACAUUCCUUGAGGACAUCUCGGCUGCAACACUGGGCAGCAUUACGCAUCCCUGUUUUGAAGUGGG